AUUGAACGCUGGCGGCAGGCUUAACACAUGCAAGUCGAGCGGGGGAGGUUGCUUCGGUAACUGACCUAGCGGCGGACGGGUGAGUAAUGCUUAGGAAUCUGCCUAUUAGUGAGGGACAACAUUCCGAAAGGGAUGCUAAUACCGCAUACGCCCUACGGGGGAAAGCAGGGGAUCUUCGGACCUUGCGCUAAUAGAUGAGCCUAAGUCGGAUUAGCUAGUUGGUGGGGUAAAGGCCUACCAAGGGGACGAUCUGUAGCGGGUCUAAGAUGAUGGUCCGCCACACUGGGACUGAGACACGGCCCAGACUCCUACGGAAGGGAGCAGUUGGGAAUAUUGGACAAUGGGCGGAAGCCUGAUCCAUCCAUGCCGCGUGUGUGAAGAAGGCCUUUUGGUUGUAAAGCACUUUAAGCGAGGAGGAGGCUCUUAAGGUUAAUACCCUUGAUGAGUGGACGUUACUCGCAGAAUAAGCACCGGCUAACUCUGUGCCAGCAGCCGCGGUAACAC
rnacentral:rRNA from 1 species